UACGGGGGGGGCAAGCGUUGUUCGGAAUUACUGGGCGUAAAGGGCUCGUAGGCGGCCAACUAAGUCAGACGUGAAAUCCCUCGGCUUAACCGGGGAACUGCGUCUGAUACUGGAUGGCUUGAAUCCGGGAGAGGGAUGCGGAAUUCCAGGUGUAGCGGUGAAAUGCGUAGAUAUCUGGAGGAACACCGGUGGCGAAGGCGGCAUCCUGGACCGGCAUUGACGCUGAGUGAGCGAAAGCCAGGGGAGCAAACGGG
rnacentral:rRNA from 1 species